rnacentral:tRNA from 1 species
UAGCUUAGAUGGUAAAGAAUCUGCCUGCAAUGCAGGAGACCCAGGUUCAGUCCCUGG